CAGCCUUGUGACAUGUUUGGCACAAGACACUACCCCCUGAGUUGGAUGCUAAGAUACAAAGUUUAGUCGAGUAUCCCCGGAUGCUCUGAUCUUUGCAUCUUGUGUGAUAAAGCGAAGAUGGUCUUUAUUGGUUUUACUACAAGAAACCACAAACGGAAUAUACCUACCUCUCUCUUGUUACUACCGAAGCCAAGUAGAGAAACUUUACCCUACAAAGGAAUACCCAAGCUUAUGAUAUAUCCUGAGGUCUGAAGGUCACCUUACUACCACAUUACUACUGAUCAUGGGGGAACAAUAUGCCAGGUGAGAAAUGAACACUCUGUUAAAAUGGACACAAUAUGUUUUCAAAUCAUCACACUCUUUGAAAGAGAGGGACUGUACGGACAUGUAACUCUCCAGCAGGUGGAAAAGGACAAAUGAUUAAUAGCCUGUUAGAUCCUUAGGGGGCAUUUCAGACCAGUUGAGUCUUGUACUUGUGUGAUUUUUGUAAUGCCAUGACACAAUGAACCUGCUGUAAUUUACCAUGUGUUACAUAAAGUGACUGAAUGAACAUUGGAGUAAAAUAUACACCAUUUGUCAUGACUGUCAGUUGGCCUAUCCACAACAGUCUCUUUCCCCCCCAAUUUUUGGUCAAAUGUAGUGUUAUUGAAGAAAAAAACAAAUCUAUUUUUCACUAACACAAAAAAUGGUUACCCUAUUUUUUGUGUAGUUACCAUUUACUCUGUGGUGACCUUGUACUUGUACUUUCUGACAUUCAGCAGUUACAUUUCAACCACAGAUUUGAAGUUAAUUUAGUAGAUAGUCCGAUUUUUUGAUUGCCUUGCUGAUAUCACAAGCACACGUGGCGACUUCCCUCGUGCAACCAAGAUUAUAAGAAUGUGACCUACUUAAAGCACAUUUAAUGAGUGCCUGACUCGUGGCCUGAAACUGUCACCCUUGCAUUAGAGACUUUUUCAAGUGUUCUAUCACACUCUUAAAGUAAAGUAAAUCUAUUUAUACAACACCAGAUGGUAUAUCAACAUUGUUGGUAGAAAACUGUCACUGGGUUGUUGACGUCCAUAAAUGGGCAAAAUUCUCUUGGGAAAAGUUGCGAAAGUGCAUUGAUUGGAAAUAGAGCUUCUGAGUCUUGCUAUUUUGCCAGAGUGACACCUGUUAAGCACAACACAAAUGCAACAUAUGAAACAUGUGGCAAAAGUAAGGAUUAACAUAAUGAUUUAAAACUCUCUGUUUAUAUUAGUCAUUUUAUGCCAUUCCCUUUUGAGCACGUUCUUCCAUAACUCUAGUGUUAAUGGAAAGCCCCCAGUACUCCAGCUGUCAUCCAACAAAUGUAAAAUGGGCUCGAAACAUUUACAGCUGUCAGUUGUCAGCUAGGCAGUAUACUGCCUGGCUGUGAAACGAUCUGAGUUAUGAGUGACAUUGACAAGCCCUAUGUAUGAUGUUCCCUGUGUAGGAGAACUCUGGGGCAAGCACUGCCGUUUAUUGAUACACAGCACAGCUAUUAAAUAAAUUGCCCUGUUAAAUGACCCUGACAGAGAAUUCCUUUCAAGUGCAGUGAUUUACUGAGAUAAUUUGGUUGAAUCACUGUCCACUUAAAACUGACCAUCAGACAUGGAAAGAUGUUGAUCUUUAUUCAUCAUGUAUUGAUACAUUUUUCUAUAUGCUGCUUAAUUUAUUUGAUAGUAAUUUGAACACUGCCUAAAUGUAUUGUAGAUUUGUGGCACUGCAGUCUAUAGGUUGGACAGUGAGCUACACUUUAUAUAUCGACUCCCAUGAGUGUUUCCUCUAUUUCUAAAAAAAUGCACAUGGUUAGUCGGUGCCUCCCCAAUCGAGGCUUCCUUUUUGACCAAACAUGGAUGAAAUGUAUUUGCAUAUGGAAACUUUUCCACUGCCACGCAAACAUGAGGUGGCACAUGCCAAGCAGUCUCUCACCUUUCCCCCUGGCAUGGCUCUCGUAAGGUGGCAAUUGGCCUUUGAGUCCAUGGUGAGACUGGGCACUGGUCAGGACACGUCAAGAUCAGAAACAACCCGUUCUAUUUAAGGCGCCCACUUUACCCUCCUGACACCGUAGGCAUCUGGCCUAUGUAUAAUCCACCCGCAUGCCUGCCAACACCCAGCAGCCUCGCACAGCCUGCCAAGAGUGGGCAUUCAGGGCUUCCCAACAAUGUAUCACAAGAUACUGCCAUGGCGACCAUUACUUUUUGAAUGUCUGACCAUAUGGUGAGAAGUUGGCUUUUCACAUUUACGCACCUCGUGCCUUGACGUCUUACUGGAGAGCUUCUGUGACUCUUGACAUGACGACACAAACUUUGUCAGCAUCAGUAUUAAGUAAAUAAAUAAAUCAGUAACAGCAUUAUAUAACCAUGGGGAUCAGUUUGAUAUAACCAUGUUUAUAAGGAAGCAUUCAUGUCCGAAUGUAGGUUCAUUUGACUUUUAGGAGAUUGUUGAAUGAAGAAAUAAAGCCAACAAAGCCAUCUUUUCAAAAGAAGUUGAUAAAAAGCUAAUGACUCAAUGUUUCCAUCUGUGUGGGCAUCACUUGUCUUUCAGGUCAAAUAAAUGAGAGUUUUACCCUCUAA